rnacentral:rRNA from 1 species
UACGUAGGCAGCGAGCGUUGUUCGGAAUUACUGGGCGUAAAGAGUGUGUAGGCGGUGUUCCAAGUUCGGUGUGAAAUCUCCCGGCUUAACUGGGAGGGUGCGCCGAAGACUGCAGGGCUUGAGUAUGGGAGAGGUAAGCGGAAUUCCUGGUGUAGCGGUGAAAUGCGUAGAUAUCAGGAGGAACACCUGUGGUGUAGACAGCUUACUGGACCAUAACUGACGCUGAGGCACGAAAGCGUGGGUAGCAAACAGG